rnacentral:rRNA from 1 species
UACAGAGGGUGCGAGCGUUGUCCGGAUUCACUGGGCGUAAAGGGUGCGUAGGUGGCUUGGUAAGUUUGAUGUGAAAUCUCCGGGCUUAACCCGGAAAAUGCAUUGAAUACUAUUUGAGCUCGAGGUUUGGAGGGGGGACUGGAAUUCUUGGUGUAGCAGUGAAAUGCGUAGAUAUCAGGAGGAACACCGGUGGCGAAGGCGGUGGUCUGGGCCGGCACUGACGCUGAGGAGCGAAAGCGUGGGGAGCAAACAGG